GGGCCUAGAGGGUCACACACAUAUGGUAGGCAUUGCGAUGAGUAGAGGUUCGGAUAUGAGAUAUCCGACGAAGCCCUUGUCUUAUUGGAUGCAGAUCCAAUACCCACUAGGGAAGGACCCAUUAGGGUUUGACACGGGAUCUCUAUAAAUAGGAGGGAUUCACAGUCUCAUAGGCUAGAGUCUUUGCUUGCCUUUCCUAUUCUCUUCUCCCUCUCCACCUUAGAGAAGGCCUGGAGAUUUGAGGAGCGU
rnacentral:lncRNA from 1 species